ACAAGUCCGAAGGUCUUGUCAAACACAAAAAUAUAAUUAAUGAAUUCUUUUCUCAUCCUUCCAUUCUAUUUAUUGCAAACAUCAUUUAUACAAAAACACAUAUGCACACAAAAAAGAGCUCCCUAGGAGUACCUAGGAUACUUUGGGUGCUAACACCUUCCCUCUGUGUAACCAACCCCAUUACCUGAAUUCUCUGACAUUUUAUUAGUUUUGAUAUAAAACUUCUUAUCUUUUUGGAUUUUG
rnacentral:lncRNA from 1 species